AUCGAACGCUGGCGGCAGGCCUAACACAUGCAAGUCGAGCGGAGUGGCGGACGGGCGAGUAAUGCCUAGGAAUCUGACUGGUAGCGGGGGAUAACGUCCCGAAACGGGCGCUAAUAUCGCACACCACCAGAUGAGCCUAGUUCGGAUCAUCUAGUUGGUGGGGUAAAGGCCUACAAAGGCGACGAUCCGUAACUGGUCUGAUGGGAUGAUCAGUCAAACUGGAACUGAGACACGGUCCAAACUCCUCCGGAGGGCAGCAGAGGGGAAUUUUGGACAAUGGGCGAAAGUCGGAUCAGGCCAUGCCGCGGGUGUAAAGAAGGUCUUCGGAUUGUAAGGCACUUUGAGUUGGGAGGCGUUACCAACAGAAUAAGCACCGGCUAACUACGUGCCAGCAGCCGCGGUAAUUC
rnacentral:rRNA from 1 species